GCCUGGGUGGCUCAGUGGUUGAGCGUCUGCCUUUGGCUCAGUGUGUGAACCCAGUCCCUGACGUGGACUCGAGUCCCACGUCAGGCU
rnacentral:tRNA from 1 species